CACCACUCCUUCCAAGUAGCCAGACAGGGCCAGGAACCGGUUGAUCUUCAUGUUGACCUCUUGUGUUUUCGACUCGUUUGCCAACCCACCUGGCCUGCUCCGCAGGAACAUGUAGUCUACAUAUGAGUCAACGAUUGAAACUGCAACAACUUCUCCGACCAUGCAUCACCCUUGCAUUGGGUUCCAGGCUCAGGCAGUAUUUCGGCAUUAGGAAUGAAAAGUCCUCUUCCUCCUCCUCCUCAUCCUCCACCUUCUCAUCCUCCUAUGCCGAGUCAUCAUGAGUGGCGAGUCUGCUGGUCACCUUUCCUGAAGUUUUCGCGACCUGUAAAUGACGUUUAAAUGUAAAAGUUACAAAUCGUUUGGUAUGGUUUUGUAUUAGACAUUGAUAGAAAUAUGAGAAAUUAAAUACAAAAACCACACGAACACAAUUUAACACUUACUUUCCGGAAACGGCCCUCUUGUGUAAACAAAAUUGAAUGUCCCAGCCUCCAUUUUGUGCUCCUGUUCUAGAUGACGCAGCCGGUCAAUCACCGACCGGUCGCACAGCCAGCAAGAGUAGUAAUUCCUCGGCUUUGUCUUCUUCACUUUCCGACCGGUCUUAGCACGUGCCUCUGACAUCAACGGCUUCAUGGGGUCUGCCGUCAGCGCUUGCACCCAGCGAACGUGGUCUGUUACCCGGAGGUACACAGUCGUGUUGCCUUUUACCACGCAAAUGGGGCAUUGCCUUGGGAUAGGCUUUGCGUUUGGUGUCUGAAAUAUUAGUUUGAAAUGUGUACGAAGCAGGUGGCUAUCAAUAUAUAUGAUUUAUUAAGAGAUGAUGAGAUAACGGACCCAGUUAAUUGAUUGAAAUAAUGAUUAUUUGAUUGAAGCUGUUAUGCUAGGGUAAAAUACCAAGGAAUGUGUAUAGAUAUUGUUAACUUUUUUUUAAUGGUGUUAAAAAUGAAUAUUUUAUUGCAAUAUUUGCACAUGCUUUGUUUUAUUUUACAAAGUAAUCACUAUUAACCUUAAGUUUAUUCUCAUGAAAAAAACAUACCAUUAAAUAGCAAUACUGAUUACUUUAUCUAUUUGAGUGACAUUAAGAGUGACCAUGUACAUGUAUAUAUCAAUCUAUACUGUCUAACCCCCCUUGCAGAUAUUAUUGACAGGUAAAUAUAAUAUUAUAUACCGUCUUAUAACGAUUCAAGACUUGGCCAAAAUAAGGCCCCAUUCCCUCAACAAAAAAGUAUUAAUUUUUCCCCAGAUAAAAAUUCACCCGACACUCAAGCAAAUUAAUUGCCCUAGACCCAGAAUUGUCAAGUUUAAAAUGUUUAAAACUAAAUAGAAUUGUUAUGUAUUUAAUUUGGCGGUGAUUAAAAAAACAUAUUAUA